rnacentral:rRNA from 1 species
GAACGCGAAGAACCUUACCAGGUCUUGACAUCCCUUGACAACUCCAGAGAUGGAGCGUUCCCUUCGGGGACAAGGUGACAGGUGGUGCAUGGUUGUCGUCAGCUCGUGUCGUGAGAUGUUGGGUUAAGUCCCGCAACGAGCGCAACCCUUAUUACUGGUUGCCAGCAUUUAGUUGGGCACUCUAGUGAGACUGCCGGUGACAAACCGGAGGAAGGUGGGGAUGACGUCAAAUCAUCAUGCCCCUUAUGACCUGGGCUACACACGUGCUACAAUGGCGUAUACAACGAGUUGCCAACCCGCGAGGGUGAGCUAAUCUCUUAAAGUACGUCUCAGUUCGGAUUGUAGGCUGCAACUCGCCUACAUGAAGUCGGAAUCGCUAGUAAUCGCGGAUCAGCACGCCGCGGUGAAUACGUUCCCGGGUCUUGUACACACCGA